GACGUUACCUACAGAAGAAGCACCGGCUAACUCCGUGCCAGCAGCCGCGGUAAUACGGAGGGUGCGAGCGUUAAUCGGAAUUACUGGGCGUAAAAGCGCAUGCAGGCGGCCUGUUAAGUCAGAUGUGAAAAGCCCGGGCUUAAACCUCGGAAAUUGCAUUUGAAAAACUGGCAGGCUAGAGUCUUGUAGAGGGGGUAGAAUUUCAGGUGUAGCGGUGAAAAUGCGUAGAGAUCUGAAAGGGAAAUUAACCCAAGUGGCGAAGGCGGCCCCCUGGACAAAGACUGACGCUCAGAUGCGAAAGCGUGGGGAGCAAACAGGAUUAGAUACCCUGGUAG
rnacentral:rRNA from 1 species